GAUGAAGAACGCAGCGAAAUGCGAUAAGUAAUGUGAAUUGCAGAAUUCAGUGAAUCAUCGAAUCUUUGAACGCACAUUGCGCCCCUUGGUAUUCCGAGGGGCAUGCCUGUUCGAGCGUCAUUAUAACCCCUCAAGCUCAGCUUGGUGUUGGGGCCUGCUGCACUGGCAGCCCUUAAAAUCAGUGGCGGCGCCAUCUGGCUCUAAGCGUAGCAAUUCUUCUCGCUAUGGAGUCCUGGUGGAUGCUUGCCAUCAACCCCCAAUUUUUCUAUGGUUGACCUCGGAUCAGGUAGGGAUACCCGCUGAACUUAAGCAUAUCAAUAAGCGGAGGA
rnacentral:misc_RNA from 1 species